AAGAUCUUAAGUUAAUAAAACUAUUAGCCUUCAAAGCUAAAAAUGAAAAAUCAGAUCUUG
rnacentral:tRNA from 1 species